rnacentral:misc_RNA from 1 species
GAUGAAGAACGUAGCGAAAUGCGAUACGCAAUGUGAAUUGCAGAAUUCAGUGAAUCAUCGAGUCUUUGAACGCACAUUGCGCCCCCUGGUAUUCCGGGGGGCAUGCCUGUCCGAGCGUCAUUGCUGCCCUCAAGCACGGCUUGUGUGUUGGGCCUCCGUCCUCCUCCCGGGGGACGGGCCCGAAAGGCAGCGGCGGCACCGCGUCCGGUCCUCGAGCGUAUGGGGCUUCGUCACCCGCUCUUGUAGGCCCGGCCGGCGCUUGCCGACACAUCAAUCUUUUUUCCUGGUUGACCUCGGAUCAGGUAGGGAUACCCGCUGAACUUAAGCAUAUCAAUAAGCGGAGGA